UAAAUCUCCCCCAGUAUCCAUUGCAAUGGAAUAAUUCACAUAGGAGAACAUCUAUGAUCCCAAUAAGGUGGCCACUUGGCAGGUGAGCCCAUGGAGGUGCCAUUGAGGACUAGCGAUGGUCUCAUGAGGAAAGCUCUAACACGAACAGCAGCAAAAAGUGGACCAGUUCAUCUUGGCUGGAUCUCCUCCAUUCCCUGCUUUUUUGUUGACCUUAGGAAGCAGGAGGACGAAGGACAUGGACAACGCGCAGUGGUAGAAGCUGUGCACCAGCAGCUGUGUGACAGAGCUCCACCUUCUGUUCUCUGAAGACUCCGAACAGCUGAGAAAGGCGGUGGGGAGACCAGAAUGUUGUGGCUGCCGCAGCUGUCCAGACGUCUCUCAGACGUAUCAAGACCAAGCUUGUGUACAGCACAGGACAAAUAAUGGCCGCAACCCUGCACUCAAGAGGUUAAACCAUCGACAAUGGACUCUUAAAGAGGAACUCCACCUAAAAUAUACAAUACGAUAA